ensembl:snoRNA
CUCCAUGUGUCUUUGGGACCUGUCGGCUGUGGCAGUCUCCCUUCCUAGCCAUGGAAAAGCAUUACUCUUGUUAAUUGGCAAAGCUGUCACCAUUUAAUUGGUAUCAGAUUCUGACUUGGACAAGUAACAGUU